CUGAUGUAUUUAUGAAGUGCUUUACUUCAAUGAACACUUACAUUACUGAUGUAUUUAUGAAGUGCUUUACUUCAAUGAACACUUACAUUACUGAUGUAUUUAUGAAGUGCUUUACUUCAAUGAACACUUACAUUACUGAUGUAUUUAUGAAGUGCUUUACUUCAAUGAACACUUACAUUACUGAUGUAUUUAUGAAGUGCUUUACUUCAAUGAACACUUACAUUACUGAUGUAUUUCUGGAGUGCUUGUAUCGGCUCUACCUGGCCUGCACUUGCUAAUGCCACUAGGAGGUAUUUAAAGACCCGAGGCAUUGGGUGAAUACCAGUCGCCACCAUGGAGAGAACCGUGUCAGCUGCCUCCUGCAAGCGGCUAUCUCUUACCAGCCCCUCAACCAGCUCUGAGCAGUCAGCAACACUCAGGUGAAUGCCGGACUCCUCCAUCCUGGCAGAAGGAGGAAGAAAUUAGCUAUGUUUAGGUAAAUACAACUAGGUAAAUACACACACACACACACACACA